UUUCAGUAUUGACAUCGUUCUGCUUUAGAAUAGUUACUGGCGUUGAAUCCAGGUUUGGAACCUGUGUCCUGUUCUGCUGCCCCCCCCAUCCCCUUCACUGCGAUGCUAAUGCAGAAGUGAUUGAGAAGGUCCAUGGCUGGGAGGCAACGGCGCCCAUCUCUCCAUGAUGCAUGGGGCCAUGUGAAGGACGCAUGGAGAAGCGGUGGCCCGCCAGCUGCCGGCAGCUCCGCCCAGAGAGGUGGUGCGUCCUGGGGCCCCUGACGCUGCAUCCAUCAGGCUCCUCCAUUAGCGCCACACCUGAGCGAUGGGCCCCGCCCGCCGCCAUACGUCUCCGCGGCCCAGACACCUUCCUGCGGAGAGGAGAUCGAUGCUGCCGGGUCCAUGUAUCACGUGUGACUCCGGAACCUUCUAUUUAAUGAUCUUGUCUGCCCACAGCAUCCCGCUCAUUCCCCAUCAGCCAGAUCCAAAAACCGUCAUCCUACACCCACUUGCCGACUCUGCCCCCCCCACCAUCGGAUUACCUGUGGGGAGAAACAUCUGCAUCAGACCUCAUGGGUGGCUGAUAAGCGUCGCGGCUUGUUCCUGUAUCGCCCGCAGUGCCACUGUUUGUCACGUGAUUAUGUCAUGGCAUUUAGGCAAAUAGGAAUACACCGAUCGAUCGAACGCAGAAACAUUGGGGGGCCCUUCCCCUGACCGUGCCCCAAGCUGAACGUUUUAUAAAUGCACCCCAGAUAUUCUCCUGUAAAGUGUUUCCAGAACACUGGGCAGCCAUCACCUAUGAAUGUUUCUGUUGAAGAUUUGAAUGGAUCUUGGACAUGGAACAUGCCAAGUCACCCCUGCAGCAAGCUGAAGCUAAAGGGGUGAAGGGAUCAAGAGGCUGCUGGGCCGAUAUCUACACUCCCUUCAAAUAAUAAUGACUCACCGAGGUGCAAAAGUUG